AUCAGGCAAAUGUACCUGUAAAGUAUUUAAAGUAAAACUACUCGAUGCAGAAACAUCCUCCUAUUUUAGAAAGUGUAAAUAAUCCAAACAGUUGUGUGUUUUAUGGUCUAAUCAUCUCAGUUGGACGUGUUUCAUUUAGAAUAAAACAUCACAGUAUAUAUAAACUACAUGCAUUUUAUGUGCAGAAAUCUUACUGUGUAAAGUAACUAGUAGCUAAAGCUGUCAGAUGAAUGUAGUGGGGUAAAAAGAAAUGUCUUGGAAAAGUAG